UGAAGUCGAGUGUUCCUGACUUCGGCAAACACCGAAGUCGAGUGUUUCCGAUUUUGCCAUAUACGUUGCUUGUACUAUAAGCACCUAUAGCACCACGGUAUGACGAAAAAUGCGUUUGAAUGAUUAAUUCUUUUUUCAUCAAUACGCGUCGGAUUGAAUUCAAUUGAUUGACAAUGCAACCAACGCAUGGGUGCUCUUCGGUGCCUUCGCGAAAUUGAAAACACUCGGCUCCGGUAUUUAACGAAACUGAAAACACGCGGUCUCGGUGUAUGCCGAAGCUUGAAACACCAAUGCCGAAAAUAAAACAGCGCCACGAGCACCGUGGCUUCGGAUAUUGCGUUUCGUGUUUCUCUUUGUGCACUGGCACGCAAUGGCAUUCUCAAUACACGCGGUGACGGUGGUUAUAUGAAGCACGCAGUGCAGUGCAGUGUUUGGACAUGCCUGCCAAUAAGCCACCUGUCAACUUCCACUUUCGAAAGAAAUUGCAGGCGAGCUAUGAAAAAUAUAGUAUUAAAUUUAACACCAGACGUCUCUGCCGUUUACUAUUAUGACUUACUCUCAGCAAGUGCCAAGUCGUUCGAAAUUACUCUUCAAAGUGAAUGUUGAUGGAUGGCUUAUUGGCCGUUACCAAAAAACGCGUGAAUUCUAUACAUUCUAUAUAUUCACGUUUAAGUUCUGCCAAUACUUCCAUCGACGACACGACCUGCCACUCGUCUAUCGAAACUGUAUCGCAAAUUUAACUACCCCUCAGUAACUGGUAAUGUCAAAACGAAAUCGCCUGAAAAAUUUUUGAAACUGGCAACACAAGUUGAUAGAUUAUUGAUUUUAAAUAACAGUUGCCAUAACCAUGGUUACUGCGUAUUGGAGACUUGGGAAAUGUAAACAAAACAAACUGCCCCGAGUGAAACUAUCAUUCAGUUUAAUCGGAUAGAGGUCUUCGUUAGGGCUUGCUGGUGCUCGAACAUAUUAAAAAUGACUUCCAGACAAUUCAAUAUUCAUGGAUGUUUGAUAAAUAGUUCAACCGACGACACGACCAGACACUCUGAAUAAAUGUUGAAAUUAAAAGUGUUUCUUAACGGAUCACCAUCGGUUACCGAAUAUUGAAUGACCCCUUGUUAAUGAACAAAAAUAAUUUCUCGAGCAACACUGUUUUGGUUGCUAAACAAUGUAGUCGUCAUGUUACCGCAGCAAAACAAACAAACAGAUCCAUUGGUAUAUCAAUUAAAAUACGGAAUUUAUUUUAAUAAUUUCGCUAGAUUAAGAAGUAUUUAAAAUAAAUAACAGAAAAAAACGCUAAAAGGAAUGAAGAAUCAUUCGUCAAAUAGUUUGGAAUAAUUCUUGUAAUACUUAUUUGUCUUUACAACAAAACCAUAGUUUUCGUUGCAGCCUUAUUUGAAAAAGAAAAUAUUGGGGACAUAUCUACUUCCAUGUUUAACAUAUUGCUACAGUGUUCCUGAUAUUCAGGUACCAUGAUGGUUCUUGGUAUCAAUCGAAAAUUCACCAUGGAUAAUACUUUGGAGUUUUUGAAUUAAGGUUAGCUUGUUGGAUUCUCAUAAUAUGGAACGACAAAUUUCUCUGGAAGCAUUUUGUGGUCUGCUGUCCAAAACAACCCAUUCUGACAAUGAAAAUAUCAAAUCACCCCAGAUUAUCACGGCUUCUAAUGGCUUGUAGGGAAAGUUACAUCGCAGAUAUUAUUACGAUGAUGCCCACCAUCUGCCGCAUGGUAAUGUGGUAUGGCUUGACUGGAAAUACAAAUCUCAAAUAGAAAAUGGCACAACAGCUGCGACCGAAGGUGUAGAGGAUGUAGUUUCCUUUGGAAUACCAAAUCAUCAGACGAAAAUAAUAGUGCUAUGGAAAAUUGCAAUUUGGGGACAAUCGAAAAUCAUAAAUCAGUUGUAAAUAAAAUAUUUUGUGUGUGUUGUGAACCAAUACCAAUAAAAUCAAAUAUACUAUGUUCAAAUUAAUUAAUAAAUUGAAAAAUCCACAAGUUAUUUUGUCGUGAAUACGACUUACUUUACUAUGGGGUGCCUUUUCAAAAUUAGCCAUAUGGAAGAAUGGGCAGAACUUAAUCGUGAAUAUCUCGACUUGUAAUAACGGCAGCAACAUAAUUCUUUCACCAUUUCAUCAAAAAUAUGAUCAGGAAUUUAGGAUAAUAUUUUGAACAUUGUGAGAUAACCACAAACAACUCAAAAAUUAAAUUAUCUAAAACUUUGAAAACAACGCGGAAAACUCGGACGACAAUUUUGAGGUAGCCAGGCACAUAUCUUCAUCUGAAUGCGUAUAAAAGGGGAACCGUGGUCGAAAAUCGAUCAUUUCGACCGUCCCAGGACAAAAGGGCCUAACUGCAAAUGACAGUUUCUCUUUAUUUACUUUUUCUAUCACGAUUUAAAGAAC